rnacentral:rRNA from 1 species
CAGCAGCCGCGGGAAUACGGAGGGGGCUAGCGUUGUUCGGAAUUACUGGGCGUAAAGCGCACGUAGGCGGCUUUGUAAGUUAGAGGUGAAAGCCUGGAGCUCAACUCCAGAAUUGCCUUUAAGACUGCAUCGCUUGAAUCGCGGAGAGGUGAGUGGAAUUCCGAGUGUAGAGGUGAAAUUCGUAGAUAUUCAGAAGAACACUAGUGGCGAAGGCGGCUUACUGGCUCAUUCUAGACGCUGAGGUGCGAAAGCGUGGGGAGCAAACAGGAUUAGAUACCCCAGUAGUCCCUGUCUCUUAUAC